rnacentral:lncRNA from 1 species
GCGGCUGGAGAGGUGGCUUCACCAGUGGCUGGCAGUGAAGGUGAGGUUGGCGGCCAUGGCUGGUGCAGCAGCAGCGCUGGCAAGGGGAGGGCAACGGAGGAAGCACUAACGGAGAAGAGAGACGAUCGGCGAUGGGAAAGGCAGCUUUGAUGAUUUUGUCGUAGGGUUUUUGAGAGAGGAGGGAGAUAGAGAGAGAAAGGGGAUAGAUGAGAGAAG